GUGAAUAAUGUUUUUGAUAACAUGUGUGUAGAAAAGAAAAGCCAUGUUUUUAUUUUGUGGUGGUCGUUGAGAUGGGGUCUCACUAUAGUGCCCAGGCUGGUCCUCAACUCCUGAACUCAGUUCUAGGUGCAAUGUUUUAAGGGGAAGACUUACACUAUGAAGCUAGCCCAGAAGAGGGUGACUAGAGUACUGAGGAGUUUCUACCUGGAAGGGCUGUAAGGAAGACAACUGCUAUGUUGUGAGCGGCUCUAUGGAGAGGCCCAUGUGGAGGGAAGUGAGGAAGGCCUCUGGCCAACAGUCCAGGAGGAAGUGAAGCCCUCAGUCCAACAGCCUGUGUGGAACUGAACCCUGCAAACAACUCUGUGUGUGAGCUUGGAAGUGGAUCCAUAUUCAGUCAAACCUUGAGAUGGGACACCAUGCUCUGCUAACACUUGAUUGUGGUCCCAGCUAGGCCACUGCUGAAGUCUUGACUCAGAGAAACGAUGAUAUAGUAAAUGUUUGUUGUUUCAAGUUGGUAAGUUUUGGGAUAAUUUUUUAUAUAGUGAUAAUUUUUUAUAUACUUUAAAAUAACACAUUGCCCUAUCCUUUGGUUACACUUUUCUCUUGGAACUCUGCUUGCCCAUAUAUUACAGAAAUAUUUUUCAGAUCAUGGGCUGAAAGGUGGAUUAUGGAUGCAAUGUUUAAAUUUAGCAAUGUCAUUUAUGACUGUUCAUAUGAGCUUUGCUGCAUAAAAUGUUGAUAUUAAUUUGUUUCCCUUUAAGACAUUCUUAAUGUUUACCUCUCAGUAUUUUCUUUGUAAUCAAUUAAUGUAAGAUGAAUAUAGUUUGUAGGUUUUACCUUUCUUGAUUCGUAUACAAAACACACAACAUCCAACCAUUGUUAUUUAAAGAUUAUCUAGGAGGAGAUGAUGGAAACUCUGUUUUGGGCCACCUUCUUUACACAUUGGGUCUAUUUCCCCUAACUUGAGUAUAUAUUAAACUAGUGGGGGAUUGAGCUACAAAAAUGCUACUUGGUGAGAAUUUUAUUAAUACAAAUACUCAACUCUGAAGUUACGUUUUUGUGGAAAGUUAUCACUUUGGAAUUUGAAUUUUCUUGGAGCUAAGCCACUGGUAGUUGUAAAAGCUACACCUGUAAAUUUGCUCCCUAGAAGAUACUUUCGUUUAGUGACCACUUGUUUCUCUGUGGAUAAAUUCAAUUAUAAAUUACAAUCGAAUUGACGUUUUCAUAGCAUCCUUCACUCUCCAAGUAUCUCAAGUCCUCUGUGAAUUAUAAAGUAAUUACAGUGCUCAAAGGACAGUUUCAUAAUUGUGUCCAUGAGCACAGACUUUCCUCUAUGUUCGAGAAGGGCUCAUUCCCAGCCGGGAACAUUAAGUUGGAUUUUAUUGAGACUGGGGACUGCUAGUCCAGACAGCUGGGUGAUCCCCUGCGCUAUUUUGAAAAGUAUCCUGGGAUCUUUAAUUUCCACCUGGAUGGUCAGGGAGGUGAGAGAACGGCCCUCACUGGGUGUGACCUUGUAUCCCACUUGGGGUCUUGAACCAGGGGACCCCCAACCCCAGAGGUGAGACAUGCAAUAUGGUCAAUUAUACAACCUCUUAAUUAUUUUUUGCUGAAUCUCAAGUGAGUUCUCAUGGCCUGCUCUCUCCCGGGUGGGUUCAGAAGGUGGCCAAGAAGAAAUGUUAGAAAAUUCCCAGAGAGCCAUUUCAUGAGAAUGUUUUCUUUGGUUUAUACCUGAUACUGUUUUGUUUUUGUUGUUGCUUUUUAAUAACUUUUUUUUCUUUUUGUGGGGUCAUUUGCGUAAUACACAGGUGACGAACACUCAAGGUUAUUUGGUCGCAUGCCACCAAAUAACUUUCCUUUGGCACAUCUGCAGUGAAGGAGUCUUUCUGUCUGUCUCCUUUUGUUCCUCAUCAUCUAUUAGCUUGGCACAGCUGACUGAGCUGUUAAAUGAUUACUGCAUAUUUUGUACCUCACCUUGAGAGGCUUUGGUAUAAAAAGGUGCUAAUUAAGCUGAAGCUUCUGGCCCUCUUGCCUAUGUGGGCCCCAGGAAGCGAAGCAAAAAGACUUUAGGGAGCUGGAGCUUGUGUGUGUGUGUGUGUGUGUGUGUGUGUGUGUGUGUGUGUGUGUGUGUGUGUGUGUUUCGUUUUCAGCAUUUUGAGGAAUUGUUACUGGAACUUAUAAAAUAAUUGUUUUAGACCUUAUAAACACAGCAAAUUCUUCAAACUACGUAUGAGGCUGACUCAAAAAGCCACGUAAAGGUAGCUUGGCGAAUCAACUAACUGCUGACCAGUUUGUGGUGAUCGUAAGUCUAUAUAUGCUGGAUUUGGCGAUCGUAAGUCUAUAUAUGCUGGAUUUGAAUAUUUUCUGUAUUUAAAGAAAAAUAAGUACAUUCUAAGAAUAGUUGUCAUCUCCCUCUGUAGACUUGCCCCGUAGAUAUUUGAAAUGGGGAUUAACAUAUUUAAGAGUAGCAGGAAGUGCUAUUUCAUCAGUGUCUAGAAUGGGAGGCGAAUUCAGUCCCUGCCUGGACUUGUUGACUAGCUCGCUGGGUUGUGAAAACCACGGCAUUCUCCUGGGAAUUUGUUCCAGGGCACUGACUGCAUUUCUUCUGAAGCUAAAGCACUUAGCUUUGCUUCCAUGCCUUUUAAUAUAAUUUGUAGGCUUCAGCAGAUUUCUAAAGUACACCACUUGAUAUCUUUCACAGCUCAAGGUAAAUUCUGCAGCACGAACUUAUAGAAUUUUUUUCUUUUACCUGGGGUGAGAACAUACCUUUUCCUAGUGCUAUUUUUUUUUUCUGGGCUACCUUUCAUCUGUUUACAUGAAUUCCACUUCUUCUCGCUGUGUUAAAGAAAUCCCCUAAGCUGUCUACAUAGGUGUGAAACUUUUGGUUGUGAUUUCCUUGAAGUUAGUUGGAACUGGAACAUUUUUUUCUGUGUCCUGAAUGGCUCACACAUUCCCUAACACAGAAUGGAUACUCAGCGAACAGUUGUUGAAUCAGUGAACGGUAAUGGCUCAGUUCUGUCAGACAAUGGAUUGAAUUAUUUUUACACCUUUAAUUCACUCAUGGACUGAAUUAACCUACUCAUGGGCUGUUUGGGGCAUCAAGUGAUAUUUAUACAUUUCUGAAGAAUGUGGAAUCACCAGGGUUAACAGUGUUUGCAGGUGGCGUUCGAUUGCAGGGGCCCAAGGAACCACGGCUGAAUUCCGCAUGGACAUAGGCCAUUUUCCACCAGCAAAGUUAUGAGAACUUUUUUUGUUUUGGUAACUGAUGUGAAAUUUUCAGUUCCGAAUGACAUCCAGAAACUCUCCUUCUGCAGCAGAUGAAUGUUUUGAGGGAAUUUGAGAGGAGGGUUUGUCUUUUAUCUCUCACCUGCACGAGGACACUUGCAGUCUCUUAAGAGAUGUUCUCUUUUUGAAAUGGUGGAAGGACAGAAGCAUCAGCCAGCCCGUUCAUGCUUGGGGACAGAGAGGGAGCUCAGAGCUUAGGGGAGCACAGGUCACUCUAAUGAAUGACAGCUGUAAUAAUAAAGACAUGCCAUCCAUGCUACUUUUUGCAGAAACCAGAAACAUCCUUGUGAAAGUUAAAGGGAAAAGAAAAACGUGUACUUUGAGGGGGGUGUUAACGGGGGACAGGAGGUGGCGACAUAAAAGACUGGUUUAAUGUGUCUCGUUGUAGCCCCUAAGGCUUUACCUGACCCCAUCACUGUCACAACACCUUCUUCGGGACUGACAGUCUUGGUAAUUGAUGGGUUGGUGGGGGCUUUUUUCUGCAAACACAUUAAGGCAGGAGGGAAUACUCUGGCCCCCACCUCCCCACGCCUGGCACGGGGGACCUGGAGGCGAGCAGACACCAGGCCCGGCGGUGUUGGGGGCAGAAGGGAUCAAUUCUGUCAACCAGACUGCCCAGCUACUGUCAGGCACUGGGACCCUUCACCUGCUCCUUGGAGUCAUUAGAACUCCCAAAUCUCUUUGCAGGCCUUUUCUAUUAGACACAUACUCCCAUGUUUUGAUUUUUUGCUCCCAAAGUCAUUUUUUUAAAUAAUUACCUGCAUCGAACCACACUUACCAUCUGUGGGCUGAGAGCGGGCAAAUGAUUUAUUAGUCUUGGUUUCUAACGGUGCUGAGCAGCUUGGGAUCGAUCUUGCUGGUGACACACUCGGCAGAUGCACCGAUGGGUGGGAGGGUCAAUGUCAGGAUGAAGCUUCUUGCGGAGCUGACAUGCACGUGGGGACCCCAGGUGUGGUGUUUAGUUGGUAGACUGUGACAUUGCAAAAGUGGAGUCUCAAGCCAUGGCGGAUAACAGGCGGCAGAAAAAGCAGUGAGGGAGCUUCUUGGGAUGUUUUACUUUAAGUAGAAAGUAAAACUGUGCAUGAAAAGAGGGGACAGAGUAUGCAACCCAAAUCAUCGCCAAGGCUCUUGGUUUCUUCUGUGCACACUGCCUGCCUUGUAUCCAAGCGUUUGACUGUGCAGAGGCCAGUCAUACUGGGGGACCCUGAGCACUACCCUUGGCAUUUGGGUAUAUCCUGAUCAAUAUAGCCAUUUCCACUGCUUGACAUUAUGUUUUGGGGGCUAGUUUUUUAAAGAUCAAUGAUUGAAUUGCUGCUCGGCUGAUUGGAUAUGUCUUCUCGGAGACUCACCUGUCCUCCCCGAAGAGAUGCUGACUACACAACAGCAGUCACUGUGCUGGGCACACGGGCAGUGUUCAGGAGACGUGGCUUCCUUUCUUCUUCUUUCAUUUCUUCCUGCCCAGAACAGCAAGGCUGAGACUGAUAAUAAAAUUCCUGGAACAUGGAGAAACUCAUGUGGGGAGAAAAGAAGAAAUGUAUUGUGACUUCCAUGGGCUUUUGGCACUUUUGGACCUCCCUCCUCCUCUUUUCCAUAAAAAAUGUAUUUUAAGACAUAUUGGUAUAAAGAUGAGAUUAUUCAUAGUACAUAUUAAAAUGUUUUCCCCUACCUAAAAGUUUGUGGUUUUAUUGUCUUCUUGUUUUUAAAAUAAAUUAAAAUAUUUUCAAAGGCCGUUAGAAGAACCGUGGGCCCUGGGCUUGGUGCCUGCUGUGCCUCAUAAAUCAGGCCUGGAGAAGAGACAUCAGUGACAUUUUAGUGUCAGGUAGAAAAUGUAAAAUAUCAUGAUUGUUUUCCAAUGAUAUACUAAGUAAGACACAUAAGAUGUGUUUUAAUUUUUUUCUUGAUGUAUGCUGUUGUCUUUUAGUUAUAAAUGCUGAGUACUGUUAAAAGAUAAACUGAGGCACAAUAAAAUUUGAAGAGUUUAUUUGAGCAAACAAUGAUUUGUUACCGAAACACCAGGGGUUCAUCUGGGUCCUGCUGCUUGCCACACAGAAAGCCAAUCACUGAGACAAUGAAUAUUGCCAAGGAAGAAGGCUUUACUCAGGUGCUGCUGUCCAGGAGAUGGGAGAUCAGUCUCAACUCCACCUCCCUGACUGAUUAAAACUAGAGGUUUUAUAGCAGGGAAGAAAUGUAACAGUAUGUAAGAAAACAGGAACUACGGAGGGGCAAGGAAGCAAUCAUGAAGAAUGAGGGGCCUGACAUCUCAUUGCAUGUGAUGAUCUGGUGAGUUUCAGUUCUCUGAUACUCUUUGAGAGGUCUGGGCUUCCUUUCCUGUGGAAGCAACUCAGAUAAAACAAAUGUAAGUUUGAAGCUUUAAGAUCAGAUGGAUCAAUUUCUUUUUUUUUUUUUUUUUUUUUUGAGACGGAGUCUUGCUCUGUUGCCCAGGCUGGAGUGCAAUGGCCACGACCUUGACUCACUGCAAGCUCCGCCUCCUGGGUUCAUGCCAUUUUCCUGCCUCAGCCUCCCAAGUAGCUGGGACUACAGGCACCCGCCACCAUGCCCAGCUAACUUUUUGUAUUUUUGGUAGAGACAGGGUUUCACCAUGUUAGCCAGGAUGGUCUUGAUCUCCUGAUCUCAUGAUCCACCUUCCUUGGCCUCCCAAAGUGCUGGGAUUACAGGUGUGAGCCACCACGCCUGGCCAGAUCAAUUUCUAUGUUUAUCUAAAAACUGUUGAUGAGACUUGGGUCAGUUUCAGAUUCACGAAUCAGGCAGCUCCAAACUAAAAGUGGUUCAGUGCCUAUGCUGAGGAAAGGAAGAGACAGGCUUUUGUAGAGUGAAUGGGGAAAGAACAGAAAUGCAAUAUUUGAUUGGUUACAGUUAAAACUUGCCUCAUUUGGUCUAUCCUGCUGAGAAGUCCCCAGUUAUAUAAUUAUAAAUUUGUUGGCUGCUUCUGAUUGUUUGAGCUUCAGUUCUGGUUUUCUAAUAUGGGCAUUUACAGAAAUAGCUCAUGUUAAGUUUUGUUUAUGUUUGCAAAUCAAGCAAGGUUAAGGUCAUUAAUGAAGUCUAACUGGCUUUGCCUGCUCAGGGCAUCUUCAAGCCCGGUCUUCAUUUUGAUUUACUGUAACAGUACUUUAGAUUUGUAAGGUAAAGUUAGAGUCCAUCUUUGUUGACUCCAAGACAUACUCUGAAGUUUGAACUUUUUAAUAACUCCCUGAUAUGUAUUAACUUUUUUUGUAGGUAUGACUGUCAUCUACAUUUCCAAGUUCUUUUUUUUUGAGACAGAGUCUCACUGUGUUACCCAGGCUGGAGUGCAGUGAUGUGAUCUCAGCUCACUGUAACCUCCACCUUCCAUGUUCAAGUGAUUCUUGUGUCUCAGCCUCCUGAGUAGCUGGGGUUACAGGCGUGUGCUACCACGGCCAGCUAAUUUUUGUAUUUUUAGUAGAGACGGGUUUUCACCGUGCUGGCCAGGCUGGUCUUGAAUUCCUGACCUCAUUUGAUCUGCCUGCCUCAGCCUCCCAAAGUGCUGGGAUUACAGGCAUGAGCCACCACGCCCGACCUCCAAGUUCUUUCUAGUAAGUACUUAGUACUUUAGGUUUCUUAAGAUUUUUCCUCUUAUUUAGCUGAAAUUUUGUGUCCUUUAAGUACUUACUACAGAGAACUUGGAAAUUUAGAUGACAGUCAUACCUACAAAUAAGGUUAUUAUGGAUAAGUUAUAGUGUUAUUUAACUUAUUAUGGGUAAGUUAUAGUGUUAUUUAAGUUACUAUGGAUAAGUUAUAGUGUUAUUUAACAAUCAAUAUGCUACUUAGGAAAAAAAUUUCCUGAGCUCUAUGCAAAGAAGCCUGUUGUAAAGCAAAUAAUGCCAUCUAAUGUAUUUGCUUGUCACUUGGGUUGUUUUUUCCAAUUAUUGAAACAUUUAAAAUGAAUGCAUCUCUAUUCUUUCUAG
rnacentral:lncRNA from 1 species